AAUUAACUGUAACCGCUCGGAUUAGGUUUAAAAACAGAUUACCUAUGACGGCGAGUCUUGAUAUUAUG
rfam:Peptoniphilus sp. ING2-D1G genome assembly, chromosome: I